CAGCAGCCACGGUAAUACGAAGGGUGCAAGCGUUACUCGGAAUUACUGGGCGUAAAGCGUGCGUAGGCGGUGGUUUAAGUCCGUUGUGAAAGCCCUGGGCUCAACCUGGGAAUUGCAGUGGAUACUGGGUCACUAGAGUGUGGUAGAGGAUAGUGGAAUUUCCGGUGUAGCAGUGAAAUGCGUAGAGAUCGGAAGGAACAUCUGUGGCGAAGGCGACUAUCUGGGCCAACACUGACACUGAGGCACGAAAGCGUGGGGAGCAAACAGGAUUAGAAUACCCGUGUAGUCCCUGUCUCUUAUU
rnacentral:rRNA from 1 species